rnacentral:rRNA from 1 species
UACGAAGGGGGCUAGCGUUGCUCGGAAUCACUGGGCGUAAAGGGUGCGUAGGCGGGUCUUUAAGUCAGGGGUGAAAUCCUGGAGCUCAACUCCAGAACUGCCUUUGAUACUAAAGAUCUUGAGUUCGGGAGAGGUGAGUGGAACUGCGAGUGUAGAGGUGAAAUUCGUAGAUAUUCGCAAGAACACCAGUGGCGAAGGCGGCUCACUGGCCCGAUACUGACGCUGAGGUGCGAAAGCGUGGGGAGCAAACAGG